GGGCUAAACUGUCUCCUUUUUCUAAUCAGUGAACCUAAUCUCCCCGUGAAAAAGCGGGGAUCCCCCUAUAAGACGAGAAGACCCUAUGGAGCUUAAAACAUAACAAUACCUGACGUUCUUAUUGUGUGUUUUUGGUUGGGGCGACCGCGGAGAAAAACCUAUCCUCCUCAAUGAAUAAACAACAAGCUACAACUUUAAGUAUCAAAAAAUUGACAUCCCUUGACCCAAUAAAUUGAUUAAUGAACCAAGUUACCCUAGGGAUAACAGCACAAUCCACUUUGAGAGCUCCUAUCGACAAGUGGGCUUAUGACCUCGAUGUUGGAUUAGGGUAUCCUAGUGGUGCAGCCGCUACUAAAGGUUCGUUUGUUCAACGAUUAAAACCCCACGUGAUCUGA
rnacentral:rRNA from 1 species